GGUUUCCGUGUUUCCGGGAUCCAUAUAUCUACUGCAUGGAGACGCCAUCUCUUUCUGUUGUUGACCUUUCGGUCACGUGUUCUCUAGUUAACCCUCUGACCUGUAAGAUGGACGUGUCAAGACAUCUGUCUUAAAAAAGAUUCGGGUAUAGGCCUCGUCAAACCAAUUCUUGUUUCUGCAUUUGGUUUGGUUUUCGUUAUUGUUCUGAUUCUGAUGAAAAUUUAAAUUUAAUUUAUUAAUUGAAAGUAUUUCCCUACAGUAUUCAAUUAUUUGGGUGAUUUUUAAUUGAUUUAUCACUUACUUUUUUAUUAUAUAUACCAGUAUUUAUAUGGACUUUCAAGUAUUUGCAUGUUACCAAAGAAUCGCUCCAACCAUUAUUGCAAAAUGUUAAAUUAACCCUAAAUGAUACUUAAAUUAUAUUGUUUGUUUCAUAUUGGAACUAAUCAUUUUAAAAUAUUAAUCUUUACAAUAUAAUCUUACAAGUUAUUUUGUGUUGAAAUACCUCAAAUAUUUAUAAGAUGAUAUAUUGAUAUAUUGUGAUAGAUUGAAACUUCAUGUAAUUAUAGAACUUAGAUUUAUGUACUUGUCAAAUAUUAAAAUCUAUUGUCAAAAUC
rnacentral:misc_RNA from 1 species